GACGCACGCUGGCGGCGUGCCUAAUACAUGCAAGUAGAACGCGUGGCGGACGGGUGAGUCAUGUCUGGGAAACUGCCCGAUGGAGGGGGAUAACUACUGGACACGGUAGCUAAUACAGCAUACCAUCGGAUGUGCCCAGAUGGGAUUAGCUAGUAGGUUGGGUAACGGCUCACCUAGGCGACGAUCCCUAGCUGGUCUGCAAGGAUGACCAGCCACACUGCAACUGAGACACGGUCCAGAGUCCUACGGGAGGCAGCAGUGGGGAAUAUUGCACAAGGGGCGCAAGCCUGAUGCAGCCAUGCCGCGUGUAGGAAGAAGGCCUGCGGGUGGUAAAGUACUUUCAGCGAGGAGGCGUUACUCGCAGAAGAAGCACCGGCUAACUCCGUGCCAGCCGCCGCGGUAAUAC
rnacentral:rRNA from 1 species